CCUACGGGAGGCUGCAGUGGGGAAUAUUGCGCAAUGGGGGGAACCCUGACGCAGCAACGCCGCGUGAGCGACGAAGGCCUUCGGGUCGUAAAGCUCUGUCAUAGGGGACGAAACAAGACUGUACCCUAAGAGGAAGCCCCGGCUAACUACGUGCCAGCAGCCGCGGUAACACGUAGGGGGCAAGCGUUGUCCGGAAUUACUGGGCGUAAAGCGCGCGUAGGCGGUCAAUUAAGUCAGGUGUGAAAGGCCCGGGCUUAACCCGGGUAUUGCACUUGAAACUGAUUGACUUGAGGACAGGCGAGGGAAGUGGAAUUCCUAGUGUAGCGGUGAAAUGCGUAGAUAUUAGGAAGAACACCAGUGGCGAAGGCGACUUCCUGGACUGUAACUGACGCUGAGGUGCGAAAGCGUGGGUAGCGAACAGGAUUAGAUACCCCGGUAGUC
rnacentral:rRNA from 2 species